CCGGGAGAUCUUGUGAGCGCGCGCGUGACUGAUGCUGCUAAAAGUAAGUUACUAAUGUCGAAUUUUAGGAUUAAUUAUUGUAACUGAAAACCAUAUUUAGGUAAAAACUGCGAUUUGUUUGUGAACUAAAUCUGCUGUAAAGGGUGAAAUAUUUAAGCCCACUGAAAUGCUUGAAUGCAAACACAUCAGCAUCUGUGCCUCUAAGGUCAAAAAAACAAAACAUUAAAUUAACACAGAUUAAAUAAAAUAACUAAUGCAUGUUCAAAUUCCCUGCUGCCAUAACAUUAACAGUUCUAUUAAAAUGCUACGCAUUUAGCCCUAUGUGACAUCUGUUUUUAUAUUGUUUAUCAACAGUAUAAAUGUUUAUUUUGUUAGAAUUAACUAGCUGAGUAGACAGAUAUGAAUGUUUAUUCAUAACCAUACUGAAAAUAAGUAUAUUGUUAGCUGAUGCUAACUGUCUAGCUAACAAGCUUGCUGGUGCUAAGUUGAGGUAAUUUUUAAAAAUAAAGUCCAAAUAUUUUUAUUCAGCCACCUAGAUAGAUUACAUCUGGGGGAAAAGAAAGGCUGUGAUGUUCAGAAGAUGGUAACGACAGUAAUUAUCAGAUUGAGAAGUGAUGUCCUCUGGGGGCAUUUGGCCAGGAGUGUUUACACCAUAGACAAGGUCUGAGAAGAAAAAAAUCAUUAUGAAAAUAUAAUUAUAUUUUCCUUAAAAAAAAAAAAAAAAAAACCUUUGACCAUAUACAUGUACUGCUUUUAUCAACACAGAAAAAAGCAUUUAAAAUCCAUAGAACUUUUCAGAGACCACAGACAGUAUACAAGAUCUCUAGAAAAAAAGCAGGCUAUCCAUCACAACAGAUAAUCAACCCCCUUCCCAUCCGUCCUGGAGAGAGGGGAAAUACAACUUUACAUACGCCUGAUUCUGAGCACACACGUUACUCACAGUUCCAGUGAGCGGAGUAGAAACAUAUCCGCAUCUUCUUUUAGGUGGACAUCUUUCAUAAAUUUGUUUUUUGGACAGAGAAAAGGCAAUAGCAUCCUUACCUACACAGGUUUGAAGUACAUACAGUAAUAAAGUUUGUACAAAAGACAGCAGCUGAUACGUUCAU
ensembl:lncRNA